GGACCAUAGCUCAAUGGUAGAGCAUCUGCUUUGCAUGCAGAAAGUCUUAGGUUCAAUCCUUGGCAUCUCCA